AUUGGUUGUGGAUUCCCCUCCAAUAUCAAUGACUUCAGUAGCACUCAGUGUCAAGACUUCUGUAUUAUGAAACCGAAGAUAAAGAUAUAAUCACAGCUCAGCUACACUUGUUAAUGAGCUACCUUGGACUAGAAAUGAUAUCAGCGGCAUUGCUAUUAACAAGUUAAAUAACACCACGUGCAUUACUUACAACACAGUGUUCUUGAAGAUCACUGAGAAGCAGUGAUGAGCACAGUGAUUGCACCAUGUGAUAUGUGAGCAUCAGCUGUGGGAGUCAGGGAAACAUUGGAUGAGUUGCAUGGAGGAUGAGAUUCUUCUACAUACCAAGAAGCUGUGUGACUCUAGAAACUAAGUUCAAGAGAAUCUGAUACACAGAAAAGUGGCAGGAUACAUAAAAUAUUCAACUGUAUGCCAAGAAGGUUGAGAUUCACAUGCAGCAAUUGAGUAGCAUAUUUCUAUGUCUCCAUGAACAUGUCACCAUGGAGUGAGGUCAUAUUCAAAGCCCCGUUGCUCUACAGGCUCACUGACUUUGUCCACAUAGCAGUUGUUCAUUCUUUUUACAGGCUUACAGAGAAUAAUUGCUGCCAUAAGAAAGACGACUGAAAUUGACAAUAAACUGAAUUUGGCU